UGGCAACAAUUAAGCUUAUUUGCAAUUCUGCAAAUCUGAUGCCUUGUGUAAUGCAAAAAGUUAAUAGAUGGUUGAAUUUCUUGGUAUGAGUCA
rnacentral:snoRNA from 1 species